UGACGCAGCGACGCCGCGUGGGGGAUGACGGCYUUCGGGUKGUAAACCUCUUUCGCCAUCGAGGAAGCCUUCGGGUGACGGUAGGUGGAGAAGAAGCACCGGCCAACUACGUGCCAGCAGCYGCGGUAAUACGUAGGGUGCGAGCGUUGUCCGGAAUNAUUGGGCGUAAAGAGCUCGUAGGCGGUGUGUCACGUCGGUCGUGAAAACUUGGGGCUUAACCCUGAGCGUGCGGUCGAUACGGGCAUCACUGGAGUUCGGCAGGGGAGACUGGAAUUCCUGGUGUAGCGGUGAAAUGCGCAGAUAUCAGGAGGAACACCGGUGGCGAAGGCGGGUCUCUGGGCCGAUACUGACGCUGAGGAGCGAAAGUUGGGGAGCGAACAGGAUUAGAUACCCUGGUAGUCCACGCCGUAAACGGUGGGCGCUAGGUGUGGGGGCCAUUCCACGGUCUCUGUGCCGCAGCUAACGCAUUAAGCGCCCCGCCUGGGGAGUACGGCCGCAAGGUA
rnacentral:rRNA from 1 species